AGAGUUUGAUCAUGGCUCAGGAUGAACGCUGGCGGCGUGGAUAAGGCAUGCAAGUCGAACGGAUUUUUCUUGUUCCGAGAUGCGAUUAUAUCAAGUCAAAGUUUUUGAAAAAUUAGUGGCGAACGAGGUAGUAAUACAUAGGAACUUCCCCAAGAGUCGUGAAUAAUCCGUCGAAAGACGGACUAAUACACGAUGGUCCCUACGGCUUCGGCCGAUGGGUAAAGUUUUAACGCUCUUGGAAAGGCCUGUGCGAUAUCAGCUAGUUGGCGGUGUAAUAGACCACCAAGGCUAUGACGUCUAGGGGAGGUGAGAGCCUGACCCCCACCGAUGGUACUGAGACACGGACCAUACACCUACGGGUGGCUGCAGUCGAGAAUCUUCCACAAUGGACGAAAGUCUGAUGGAGCGACGCCGCGUGAUUGAUGAAGUCCCUCUGGGACGUAAAGAUCUUUUAUGAGGGAAGAAGUUUAUUGACGGUACCUCAUGAAUAAGAGGCUCCUAAUCUCGUGCCAGCAGGAGCGGUAAUACGAGAGCCUCGAGCGUUAUCCGGAAUUAUUGGGCGUAAAGGGUGCGUAGGUUGUUCUGUUAGUCUUUUGUCAAAGCCCCAAGCUUAACUUGGGAUCCGCAAAAGAAACGGCAGGACUUGAAAGUGUGAGAGGCGUACGGAACUCAUGGUGUAGGGGUGAAAUCCGUUGAUAUCAUGGGGAACACCAAAUGCGAAGGCAGUACGCUGGCGCAUAUUUGACACUGAAGCACGAAAGCGUGGGUAGCGAAUGGGAUUAGAUACCCCAGUAGUCCACGCCCUAAACGAUGAUCUCUCGCUAUUCGGAGUAUCGACCCUCUGAGUGGCUUAGCUAACGCGUUAAGAGAUCCGCCUGGGAAGUACGGCCGCAAGGCUAAAACUC
rnacentral:rRNA from 1 species